CCCGCACAAGCGGUGGAGCAUGUGGUUUAAUUCGACGCAACGCGCAGAACCUUACCAGCCCUUGACAUGCCUCGGAAGUGGACGAGAGAUCGACCACGCUCUUCGGAGCCGGGGACACAGGUGCUGCAUGGCUGUCGUCAGCUCGUGUCGUGAGAUGUUGGGUUAAGUCCCGCAACGAGCGCAACCCUCGCCUUCAGUUGCCAUCAUUUAGUUGGGCACUCUGGAGGGACUGCCGGUGACAAGCCGGAGGAAGGUGGGGAUGACGUCAAGUCCUCAUGGCCCUUACGGGCUGGGCUACACACGUGCUACAAUGGUGGUGACAGUGGGCUGCGAUGGGGUGACCCUGAGCAAAUCCCAAAAAGCCAUCUCAGUUCGGAUUGCACUCUGCAACCCGCCUGCAUGAAGAUGGAGUUGCUAGUAACCGCAGGUCAGCUAUACUGCGGUGAAUACGUUCCCGGGCCUU
rnacentral:rRNA from 1 species